rnacentral:tRNA from 1 species
GGGGGUGUAGUUCAGUUGGUUUAGAACGCCGGCCUGUCACGCCGGAGGUCGCGGGUUCGAGUCCCGUCCGGUCCGCCA